rnacentral:snRNA from 1 species
AAACAAUAGUUUUGUCUAACC